rnacentral:rRNA from 1 species
AACGAACGCUGGCGGCAUGCCUAACACAUGCAAGUCGAACGAGACCUUCGGGUCUAGUGGCGCACGGGUGCGUAACGCGGGGGAACCUGCCCUUAGGUUCGGAAUAACUCCCCGAAAGGGGUGCUAAUACCGGAUAAUGUCUUCCGACCAAAGAUUUAUCGCCUUUGGAUGGGCCCGCGCUGGAUUAGCUAGUUGGUAGGGUAAAAGCCUACCAAGGAGACGAUCCAUAGCUGGUCUGAGAGGAUGAUCAGCCACACUGGGACUGAGACACGGCCCAGACUCCUACGGGAGGCAGCAGUGGGGAAUAUUGGACAAUGGGCGAAAGCCUGAUCCAGCAAUGCCGCGUGAGUGAUGAAGGCCUUAGGGUUGUAAAGCUCUUUUACCCGGGAUGAUAAUGACGGUACCGGGAGAAUAAGCACCGGCUAACUACGUG